AUUACUUUUCAGCUUUUUGGCUAAGAUCAAGUGUAGUAUCUGUAGCCAUUUCAUAACUUGAUUUCUAUGUCCAUCUUUA
rnacentral:snRNA from 1 species